UUGGAGGGCAAGUCUGGUGCCAGCAGCCGCGGUAAUUCCAGCUCCAAUAGCGUAUAUUAAAGUUGUUGCAGUUAAAAAGCUCGUAGUUGAAUUUCGGGGUUAGUAGGUUGGUCGUGCCUCAGGUAUGUACUGAUCUCACUGAUUCCUCCUUCCUGAUGAACCGUAAUGCCAUUAAUUUGGUGUUGCGGGGAAACUGGACUGUUACUUUGAAAAAAUUAGAGUGUUUAAAGCAGGCUAACGCUUGAAUACAUUAGCAUGGAAUAAUGAAAUAGGACGUUCGAUCCUAUUUUGUUGGUUUCUAGGAUUGACGUAAUGAUUAAUAGGGAUAGUUGGGGGCAUUAGUAUUCAAUUGUCAGAGGUGAAAUUCUUGGAUUUAUUGAAGACUAACUACUGCGAAAGCAUUUGCCAAGGAUGUUUUCAUUAAUCAAGAACGAAAGUUAGGGGAUCGAAGACGAUCAGAUACCGUCGUAGUCUUAACCAUAAACUAUGCCGACUAGGGAUCGGAUGAUGUUAAUUUUUUAAUGACUCAUUCGGCGCCUUACGGGAAA
rnacentral:rRNA from 1 species